AACGAACGCUGGCGGCAGGCUUAACACAUGCAAGUCGAACGCAUCGCAAGAUGAGUGGCAGACGGGUGAGUAACGCGUGGGAACAUACCCUUUUCUACGGAAUAGCUCUGGGAAACUGGAAUUAAUACCGUAUACGCCCUACGGGGGAAAGAUUUAUCGGGGAAGGAUUGGCCCGCGUUGGAUUAGCUAGUUGGUGGGGUAAAGGCCUACCAAGGCGACGAUCCAUAGCUGGUCUGAGAGGAUGAUCAGCCACAUUGGGACUGAGACACGGCCCAAACUCCUACGGGAGGCAGCAGAGGGAAAUAUUGGACAAUGGGCGCAAGCCUGAUCCAGCCAUGCCGCGUGAGUGAUGAAGGCCUUAGGGUUGUAAAGCUCUUUCACCGAUGAAGAUAAUGACGGUAGUCGGAGGAGAAGCCCCGGCUAACUUCGUGCCAGCCGCCGCAGUAACAC
rnacentral:rRNA from 1 species